CAUUUGUACUGUUAUCCGCAAACUGCGCUCAAUUCGCUCUUAAAGUUAACGUGAAUCUAUUGCCGGAAUUCAACCAUAAGUUUAGGUGGAAAAGUUGUAUUGUAACUACAAAUGUGAAGUUGCGGAUGAAUUAUUGUUAGAAGUUGGCAUUAUUUUAUUUUCUAUACUUUGAAUAGCAACUGUUAAAGUGAAGUUACAUGUAUUUUUACUCAUUAUUUAAGACAUAAGGUAUUUUAUAAAAAUAACGUCAAGUUGACAUUUGCUACUAACCUAAAAAAAACUGCAGCUGAAAUACUGUAAAGUUCAAAAUUUGCAAUAAAUUAUUUAAAAAACAAAAAAAUAUACAUUGUGUUUUGAAAUUUGUUCUAUGUAGAUUUGUACAUAAUUAAAAUUAAUUUAUUAUUAAAUUAAUAAAUUAAAAAAUUUAUUAUUUUUAAAUCCAAGAAUUGAUUAUUUAUAAAUAGUAAUUUUUAUAAUGUGCUCAUCAGGGUUGUAGUUGAUUGAUUCAAAAAAUUAUGUUAAUUUAUGACAUGCAUGUAAAUUAAUCGCUAUGUAGCAAAAAGAGUAGAAAAAACAAUGAACUAUCAACAAACAACAAUUUAAUGUAAUCGUAAUAUCAUACAAUUGUCAACAUAAUCAUUACAUAUUGUAUGAUCAUACGUCGACGUGAAGACCUGUGAUUUUCCUCCAUCGAGCUGUGAUGCUUAAGAGUUACUCAAAUUAUUCCUUGGCUGUUUACGUAAUAAAUUUUUGAAAAGCACUUACGGCAGCGUGUGCUCGAGUAAAUAAAAGUGCAGAUAGCUCGGGUGAAGAAACGGUGGAUCAAGACGGUAAAGAAAAUGGAAGUCAGUCGAGAAGUGAAAAGAAAAACGGGAAGAAGAAAGGCAAAAGAAUUACUUUAAAAAAUGUUCAUUUAUAUUCCAAAAGUGCUGAUCAGCCUGUGAUUGAUUCAUCUGUCACUGAGUGAUAAUAAUUUUUAUUUCUUAUUGUUUAUCAUGAAACUUAAUUGUAUCGUUUUCUUUUUAUAAUAUCACUAGUUAUUUAUUGUUUAUUAUCGUUGUGUAGGUUUGAAAACCAUAAGUAAUUGACGUACUGUAAGUUGGUUAAUGUGCUCUAAUUUAUCAAUAAAAGAAAAUUUAAAAUUAUAA